rnacentral:rRNA from 1 species
CAGCAGGCGCGAAAACUUUGCAAUACACGAAAGUGUGACAGGGCUAUCCCGAGUGCCAUCCGCUGAGGAAGGCUUUUACCCAGUCUAGAAAGCUGGGGGAAUAAGGAGAGGGCAAGUCUGGUGUCAGCCGCCGCGGUAAUACCAGCUCUCCGAGUGGUGUGGAUGUUUAUUGGGCCUAAAGCAUCCGUAGCUGGCUAAGUUAGUCCCUUGUUAAAUCCACCGAAUUAAUCGUUGGAUCGCGGGGGAUACUGCUUGGCUAGGGGACGAGAGAGGCAGACGGUAUUUUCGGGGUAGGGGUGAAAUCCUAUAAUCCCGGGAAGACCACCAGUGGCGAAGGCUGUCUGCUAGAACGCGCCCGACGGUGAGGGAUGAAAGCUGGGGGAGCGAACCGGAUUAGAUACCCGGGUAGUCCCAGCUGUAAACGAUGCAGGCUAGGUGUUUGGACGGCCACGUGCCGUUCUAGUGCCGCAGGGAAGCUGUUAAGCCUGCCGCCUGGGGAGUACGAUCGCAAGAUUGAAACUUAAAGGAAUUGGCGGGGGAGCACAAGGGCGAUUCGCG